CUCGCCUCUGUCUUUUCCUCCUUCCAGCGCCCGGCUUUCCUCCCCUCCCCCUCGCCGCCGACCGAGUUUUUCCUUUUCAGACAGAGUCGCCUUGUCGUCGCGAAGGUUUUUUGUUUUUGUUUUUUUGUUUUUUUGUUUUUUUUUACUGCUGCUGCUGCUGCUACCACCACCACCCCUGGGCUAAUUUGCCCUGACCCUUUCCCGCCGCCCUGACCCCAACCCCACACAAGAUGUCAGAAGAUUUAGCAAAGCAGCUGGCAAGCUACAAAGCUCAACUCCAGCAAGUUGAAGCUGCAUUAUCUGGAAAUGGAGAAAACGAAGAUUUGCUAAAAUUGAAGAAAGAUUUACAAUGGCUCUCUGCAUCCCCGAAACGCCUUCCUUCAGUAAGCAGAGUGCUUGAGUGCACCCCCUUUGACCUGCUGAUAUGUAGAUCACAACACCUGAUGCUUCCUGGAAUUGCCGAUUACUGUAACUGCUGCCCAUCUGUGGAUGAAGGAGCAGUUUCAGAACUCAGACUUGAGGGAGGAAAAGUAAUUAAUGGAAGUCAUAGAACUAACCAAAGACCUUCUGUCAACUCAACCUUCUGAAACUCUUACAAGUUCAGACAGUUUUGCUUCUACUCAGCCCACUCAUUCAUGGAAAGUAGGAGACAAGUGUAUGGCAAUCUGGAGUGAAGAUGGACAGUGUUAUGAAGCGGAGAUUGAGGAGAUAGAUGAAGAAAAUGGCACCGCUGCAAUCACCUUCGCUGGUUAUGGCAAUGCUGAAGUGACUCCACUGUUGAACCUCAAGCCUGUAGAAGAAGGAAGGAAGGCAAAAGAGGAUAGUGGCAACAAACCCAUGUCCAAAAAAGAAAUGAUGGCCCAACAGCGUGAAUAUAAAAAGAAGAAGGCUUUGAAAAAAGCACAGAGAAUAAAAGAACUUGAGCAGGAAAGAGAGGAUCAGAAGGUGAAAUGGCAACAGUUCAAUAACAGAGCCUAUUCUAAAAACAAAAAAGGCCAGGUAAAGAGGAGUAUUUUUGCCUCACCUGAGAGUGUAACGGGCAAAGUUGGAGUAGGAACUUGUGGAAUUGCUGAUAAACCUAUGACACAAUAUCAAGAUACUUCUAAAUACAAUGUUAGGCAUUUGAUGCCUCAGUAAUCAGAAAAACUGUUGGAUUUCAUCUCUGCAGGGCUUUACAUUUACCUUUUUAUCCUUAUAUUUUUCUAAAGGAUUUUUGAGUUGCACGUUAAACUGAAUUUUUACUGCAGUGGAGAGGAAGAGCAUAACAGGCAAAAUAGCAGGUAAUACUGUAGUUUAAACAAACUGGAAAACCCAAGUAAUUGAAUCCUUUAUCCUAUCAAUUUUUAAAAGGCAUGAAUAUGUGCAUAGUUCUUAAGAAACAUUUUAGGAGGUUCACAAACCAAUAUUAAAGAUGGGGCAUUCUAAAAUUUUGUUUUGGCCUAUCCAAAAAAGUAAGUAAAAGAAAACAUAAGAUGAUAGAUUUCUGUGAGGCUUUUCAAAUGCUUUUUUUGCCUUUCCGAUUUAUGUAUAUAAUGGUGGUUCUUUUGUGCCCUUGAGUGGGGUAAAGCAGAUCUGAGAAUAACACUGGGUUUGUAGUAGUACUUGGGGCCCAUAGUCAUGGUUGUUAUUUUGCUGGUUCAGGAUUUCUCUUUCUUGGUGAAACUGAUGUGCUUUUGUUUUUUUCCCCUUUCAAGCCCUGUACUUAAUUUAGCAAGAUGCAGUGAAUUUCUGACCAGAGAAACAAAAGAAUUCAGGCUUGGAGGAAACACUUGACUCCAUAUCCUGGAAAAACUAGAGUUGAAGCCUGAGAUCUGCAGCUAGGCUAGUCUUUAAUAGAUGGUAUUUGUCCAGUUGUUCAUUGCUCAGAAGUAGCAGGAAGGAGUAAGUAUCCCUUUGGUUCUUUUGCCUGGAAUUUUUCCCUCCAAAAGUGCUCUCAGGUUUAGUUGACCUAGCUUUCCAGAGUAAGUGUAAUGAAGGUACUAAUUUAGAAAUAACUGAUCUCUUGAAUUUAUAUUCUUUUUAUGAUUUUAGAGAUAUGUUAUGGAUUUUGUUAUACUUUUAUAAUGCUAUUCUGUGACCUGCUGUGGACAUCUAAAAUAAAUAUCUCAGUUAUUGCCCUACUAAUAAAGUCUUUAAGCGUUUCCCAUGGCAAAGUGCUA